rnacentral:rRNA from 1 species
GAGCGGCAGCACGGGGAGCUUGCUCCCUGGUGGCGAGCGGCGGACGGGUGAGUAAUGCAUAGGAAUCUGCCCGGUAGUGGGGGAUAACGUGGGGAAACCCACGCUAAUACCGCAUACGUCCUACGGGAGAAAGCGGAGGCUCUUCGGACUUCGCGCUAUCGGAUGAGCCUAUGUCGGAUUAGCUAGUUGGUAAGGUAACGGCUUACCAAGGCGACGAUCCGUAGCUGGUCUGAGAGGAUGAUCAGCCACACUGGGACUGAGACACGGCCCAGACUCCUACGGGAGGCAGCAGUGGGGAAUAUUGGACAAUGGGCGAAAGCCUGAUCCAGCCAUGCCGCGUGUGUGAAGAAGGCUUUCGGGUUGUAAAGCACUUUCAGCGAGGAAGAAAGCCUGUCGGUUAAUACCCGGCAGGAACGACAUCACUCGCAGAAGAAGCACCGGCUAACUCCGUGCCAGCAGCCGCGGUAAUACGGAGGGUGCGAGCGUUAAUCGGAAUUCUGGGCGUAAGCGCGCGUAGGUGGCUUGGCACGCCGGUUGUGAAAGCCCCGGGCUCAACCUGGGAACGGCAUCCGGAACGGCCAGGCUAGAGUGCAGGAAAGGAAGGUAGAAUUCCCGGUGUAGCGGUGAAAUGCGUAGAGAUCGGGAGGAAUACCAGUGGCGAAGGCGGCCUUCUGGCCUGACACUGACACUGAGGUGCGAAAGCGUGGGUAGCAAACAGGAUUAGAUACCCUGGUAGUCCACGCCGUAAACGAUGUCGACUAGCCGUUGGGACCUUUAAGGACUUAGUGGCGCAGUUAACGCGAUAAGUCGACCGCCUGGGGAGUACGGCCGCAAGGUUAAAACUCAAAUGAAUUGACGGGGGCCCGCACCAGCGGUGGAGCAUGUGGUUUAAUUCAUGCAACGCGAAGAACCUUACCUACCCUUGACAUCCUGCGAACCCGGAAGAGAUCCGGGGUGCCUUCGGGAACCCAAUGACAGGGGCUGCAUGGCUGUCAUCCAGCUCGUGUUGUGAAAUGUUGGGUUAAGUCCCGUAACGAGCGCAACCCUUGUCCUUAUUUGCCAGCGAUUCGGUCGGGAACUCUAAGGAGACUGCCGGUGACAAACCGGAGGAAGGUGGGGACGACGUCAAGUCAUCAUGGCCCUUACGGGUAGGGCUACACACGUGCUACAAUGGCCGGUACAAAGGGUUGCGAGACCGCGAGGUGGAGCGAAUCCCAGAAAGCCGGCCUCAGUCCGGAUCGGAGUCUGCAACUCGACUCCGUGAAGUCGGAAUCGCUAGUAAUCGUGAAUCAGAAUGUCACGGUGAAUACGUUCCCGGGCCUUGUACACACCGCCCGUCACACCAUGGGAGUGGACUGCACCAGAAGUGGUUAGCUUAACC